rnacentral:lncRNA from 1 species
GGGCAUCCUUUUCCACAACAGAAACUGCAGCUUGAUAUGCAGCACUCAACUUGUUACCGGGCUUUAAAGAACCAAUAACAGCUUCAUGGGCUUUCAGAAGAACCUCAUAAGCCUUACUUUGAAUAGGGUCUGCAUCAAUCAAGAAGGUCCUAGNNNNNNNNNNNNUCAAUCAAGAAGGUCCUAGCUAUAUUUGAGCAGUAGCUCUUGUACCGGGCUCCGACAGCACAUAUAAUCACACUGGCAGAGUCAUAGUAAAGUGGCUCAUCGUUGCUGACAGCACUGGGCUUAAGAUCAAACUUCCCUCCACUCUGAAAAAUCGGAGGG